rnacentral:sRNA from 1 species
GCUGGGCACAGUGGUGCACGCCUGUAAUCCCAGUGGCUCAGGAGGCUGAGGCAGGAGGAUCAUAAGUUCAAAGCCAGCCUCAGCAACAGUGAGGCAAUAAGUAACUCAGUGAGACCCUGUCUCUA